rnacentral:lncRNA from 1 species
AUUUUUUUUUUCUGGAAAUAAAAACAGGACGAAGAUAUUUGAGAGAACGGCAGAGCUGAAGUUAUUUCAAUCAGAGCAGAGAGCAGUCUAAUUCUAGGUCUCCUUUGCGUGAUCAAUCCUCCAUCCCAACACCACGACUAGUAACCAUGACCUCCCUCUUGUAGAAUUUGGGGUGGCCACACACAAUGUGAAAGACAUAGAGGGCAGCCUGGCAAGUUUAUAAUUGCUAUGAGAACCUGACCUGGCGUCUGAGAGGUUCUAUUCUAACUUUGUUGUGUUGCAAGCAUGAUGUGGUAGAGACCAGGGCCACAUUAUGACUUUUGUGGACGCUUUUGCCUUUGUGGGUUCCCUCCUCCAUUAAAAAAAAACCUACAAGUUAUAUUUUACGAUUGCAUUGGUGUAAAGACAAAUAUAUUAAUAUUACACGCUAAUACAUUUUCUUCGACCUAGAAGAUCAUCUUUUCUUUUGAUUUUAAAAGAAAUGAAAACAUUUCUAUGGGCUCCUAAAAGUAUUGUGGGCUCCGAGCACUGUGCCUACUGUUCCUAAGAAAGACGCAAUCUUGAAGGUACCAUUCCUUGAUACUGAAUUUCCUCCUUCGGGGGGAAAAAAAAACCCAGUUAAAUUAAGAAGUACCGAGUUGACAUAGAGGCAGAAAGACACACAGUACAAGUUUAAGAAUUGAUAAUAAUGAAUAUCAGCAGAAAGUACCGGUUCCUACUUGUUUUGGUCAGGCUCUUGAGGUCUUAAAUCAGCUUCGAGUCAUUAAUGAUACCUGUGGAAAUAUGUCUGUGAAUGUGUCUUCAGCCCUUCCAGUAGCCAAAGACUUCCUCUAGAGAUCUCAUGACGGUUCCGAAUCCUUGGAUCAGGUAUGUGAGGUCUCUGUUGCCAGGACCUAGCCAGAAUACAACUAAAGACACAGCUGGGCAAUUAUAAUUGGGCAAGUUCAUGGAUGAGAGAUCCAUAAAGGUUUUGUGUGUGCUGAAGGGGUAUGUGUGUAUAAGGUAGGGAUUGAUAUCCUGGAAGGCAAUUACUAGCCUAUUUCUUUUGUUGGCCUCAUCACAACCCUGGGUUAAUGUUUGAUCCUCGCUGGCAGUUGUGAUUCAUAUUUGCUGCCCUUUGAGGAGCUUAUGUUUUCAGGAAAGACUAUAUUGAUUCAGAUUAAUGCAUAAUAAACAGGCAUUAUGGUCCCACAGAAGUGUACAGUGGCACCCUUCUGUAUUUUCAUCGUGACUGCCCUUGCAGAGAGACGGAAAAAAGAGAAGUCCAUAAUUAUAGAGCAGGUCUGGAGCGGGGAGAUGUCUGGGACAGAACUAAGACAUUAAUAUGGAAGAAUUGUAUUCAUAUGGUUAAAGGGAUGCCCAAGAAAAUGGAGAGAAGAAAGGAUAUGCCCAAAUAGCAGGAAAGAAACAAAAAAUCUUCCAGGGCUGCUCACGGUGAUUUUUGAGACCUCUGAUUUUAAUGAUUGGGGAUUUUAAGUAAGGACUCGAGAAACUUCCCAGGUCAGAUCUGAUUCUUUUAUCUUAUCUAUAUCUUGCUUUUCUAAUACAGCAUCUCCUCAUGAUCUAGUUUUCACAUACUUGCCAGAUGGAUGAUUCCUUUAUUUAUCCAAUCAACAUCUAUUAAGCACC